GGCGGCGUAGCCAAGUGGUAAGGCAGUGGACUGCAAAUCCACCAUGCAUCGGUUCAAAUCCGAUCGCCGCCUCCA
rnacentral:tRNA from 1 species